UACAAUACACCCCAACCCUUAUAUUAGGUAAAUAAAAAACUAUUCAAAUACUUUUUCUCUUCAACAAAACCCCAACCCAGUUUUCCAUUUCUUCCAUCACCUUCGCCGGAGAAUCCCAUCCACCAUCAUUCCUCUCUAACCGCAACGCUCUUCAUCUCCGCCCACAUAAUCUCCCCUCCCCACACUCCACUUUUCGCUUUCUCCAGAUCUACAACAACCGAUCAUCUUCUCCAACCCUCUUCCCUGCUCUGCCGCAGGUCCAAUUCCGUUUCCGACCUUCGUUCAUCACUUACCGGGCCCACAGGACACACCCACCCACAUCAUCACUAUCCUGGUACCAUGGGCACCAAAAGACAGCGCCCCACUAAUAAGGUCAGUACUUUUCGAGCUCCUCCCCCUGCUGCUGCUAAUGCGCCUGCUCCUCCUCCUGAUUUGGUCGACAUAGUAGCACGUUUGGACCGCAUUGAGGCGCGCCAGCAGCGUAUUGAGGCGAGCCAGCAACGUAUUGAAGCGAGCCAAGAGCGUAUCGAGACUGCUAUCCACCAGCGCUUUGACGAGCUCUUCUGCAUUAUGGAAGCUCAAAACCCACAACCUCCAACUCCAUGAUUCGUCUUUUCUUUUUUAGUUUUUGUGAAUCUCAGGGAAGUCUCGUUUUUCUUCUUUUAGAUGAUGGUUCUUUUUUUUAGCUACUUGUUAACAUUGAGAACAAUAUUUGUUUCAAAUGUAGGUGGCGUACCAAUUAAAUCAAAAUUGCCAAUUUUCAGUUGUAUUUGGAUUACACUUGGGAAAUAUGGGUAAUUAGGCAAGAUAAGACUGAAUUUUAGGAAUUAUUUUUUCAUUGAUAGAGAUAUCUUUAGAAGUAGGAUACUUCAUUGCUUAUGAGUGAUUGUUUUGCUAAGCGAUAUCUUUCUAGUUGGA